rnacentral:rRNA from 1 species
GACGAACGCUGGCGGCGCGCUUAACACAUGCAAGUCGAACGGAAAGGCCUGCUUUCCCUUGUGGAUUGCGGGUACUCGAGUGGCGAACGGGUGAGUAACACGUGAGUGAUCUGCCCCCAACUUGGGUAUAAGCCUGGGAAACUGGGUCUAAUUCCCGAUAGGACUGCAGGGUGGUUCCUGUGGUGGAAAACGAUUUUCUAGUGGUUGGGGAUGAGCUCGCGGCCUAUCAGCUUGUUGGUGGGGUAAUGGCCUACCAAGGCGGCGACGGGUAGCCGGCCUGGGAGGGUGGACGGCCACAUUGGGACUGAGAUACGGCCCAGACUCCUACGGGAGGCAGCAGUGGGGAAUAUUGCACAAUGGGCGGAAGCCUGAUGCAGCGACGCCGCGUGGGGGAUGACGGCCUUCGGGUUGUAAACUCCUUUCGACCGCGAGGAAGCCACCUGGUUGGAAGGGUGGUGACGGUAGUGGUAGAAGAAGCACCGGCUAACUACGUG